rnacentral:rRNA from 1 species
UACGGAGGGUGCAAGCGUUGUUCGGAUUUACUGGGCGUAAAGCGCGCGCAGGUGGAUGGACAAGUCGGAAGUGAAAUCUUGAGGCUCAACCUCGAGGCUGCUCCCGAAACUGUUCGUCUAGGGACUGGUAGAGGCUGGUAGAAUUCCCGGUGUAGCGGUGGAAUGCGUAGAGAUCGGGAAGAAUACCCGUGGCGAAGGCGGCCAAGCUGGGCCAGGUCCGACGACUGAGGCGCGAAAGCGUGGGGAGCAAACAGGAU